rnacentral:rRNA from 1 species
CCUACGGGUGGCAGCAGCUAAGAAUAUUCCGCAAUGGACGAAAGUCUGACGGAGCGACGCCGCGUGGACGAUGAAGGCCGAAAGGUUGUAAAGUCCUUUUGAACCUGACGAAUAAGCAGUGCAGGAAAUGGCAUUGUGGUGACGGUAGGGUUUGAAUAAGCAACGGCUAAUUACGUGCCAGCAGCCGCGGUAACACGUAAGUUGCGAGCGUUGUUCGGAAUUAUUGGGCGUAAAGGGCAUCUAGGCGGUAUCUCAAGCUUGGUGUGAAAUGCCGGGGCUUAACUCCGGAACUGCAUUGAGAACUAAGAUACUGGAGUCGCUGAAGUGCAGCCAGAAUUCCUGGUGUAGGGGUGAAAUCUGUAGAUAUCAGGAAGAAUACCAAUGGCGAAGGCAGGCUGCAGGCAGACGACUGACGCUGAAGUGCGAAGGUGCGGGGAGCAAACAGGAUUAGAUACCCUUGUAGUC